CCAGAAACCCUAGCCGCCACUGUUCCCCACCGUUCUCUCGCUCUCUCCCCUCCCUUGAGCGACGGCGCCACAUCGUCUUCCCUUCCCCUACUUCUCCUCGCCGCCGACGGCUUCCCCUCGCGGUCUCCCCGCCGUCCCCCAUCUCCUGCCCACCCCUCUCCCCUUCACCCUCUUCCGAGUCAAGCAAAGGAGAGAGAACCCACGCCUCCUAGACUCACGAACCAGUCGCCGCCUCCGUUCUUAUUGUUUUCUCUUUUUCCCCUAUUUCUCUCUACCUGGGGAGGUGACUCUACCAUUGCGCCGCCGUAGUUGGUGGUGAUAGCCUAGCUGGAGUGGCGAUGGAGGCGGGAGAUGGUUCAUGGACCUGCGGCGGCGACGCCUACGACCGUCGAGCUCUGGUACCCAUGGACCGCCGACGCUUCCAUUGGAAGGGCAUGAGCCAUCAGUGCUAAGCUCCAAUGCUGAUUACGAAGAAUCCCAUGUAAGCCAUCAGUUCUUGAGCCUAAGCUGCUAGAUCUCCUUUUCCCCUGUAUUCCUACGCUGUCAUGCAUGUUCUGCCUGCAAUGCGAGGAGGCUUGGGAUGACCGCCACAGCGGCUGCGAAGGAGCCACUUCCCGAGCAGUCGUGCCAUGAUCGAUAAGAGUGAUCGAUGGAUGCGAGCGUAUGGUGUCCAUUGUGCAGUCGUGCAGGCUUUCCCUAUAAAUUAAUUGACAGGAGGAAGAAAUCACAGGUGGUUUACCAAUUUCAAUGACAUUUUAUAGUUCAUCAAAGAAUUGAACUUCUAUAUGGUAGCCGGGCAAAUAGCAGGGAUGUUUCUUUCUCUACACCUGUAUCUUGGCUGAUCAUUUAGUUUCUUUCUAUAUAUAUAUGCUGUUAAUUGCUCUAUGAAGCAUAAUAAGUUCUCAUGGCUUCUGGAUUUACACUUAGCUGAUUUUAUCUCGCAGAAUUCAACCACUUUUUUUUUUAUCGUCACAUAGAUGUAAGAUUUCAGGUUAUGUGAUGGUCACAAACUUCAGAAUUCAAGUUGUAUUAGCCUAUGUUGGAACGAAGACCUUCAGAAGAACUAUAUGUAAUAUAAACGGUGUAAAUGAUGUAAAUGUUGUGACACUUAGUCUUUCCAACUAUAUUCUUUCAAUGCUUACCGAAUAUGUGAACAAUUGAUUAAUGUUUCUCUGCC